UACGUAGGGUGCAAGCGUUUGUCCGGAAUUAUUGGGCGUAAAGAGCUCGUAGGCGGUCUGUCGCGUCGGGAGUGAAAACUCAGGGCUCAACCCUGAGCGUGCUUCCGAUACGGGCAGACUAGAGGUAUGCAGGGGAGAACGGAAUUCCUGGUGUAGCGGUGGAAUGCGCAGAUAUCAGGAGGAACACCGGUGGCGAAGGCGGUUCUCUGGGCAUGACCUGACGCUGAGGAGCGAAAGCAUGGGGAGCGAACAGG
rnacentral:rRNA from 1 species